UUUCCGUAGGUGAACCUGCGGAAGGAUCAUUAAUGAAAAUUUUGUUGGAUUGUUGCUGGCCUUUUAGGAGGCAAUUGUGCACAUCUGACUUGAUUUUUUCUUAUCCACCUGUGCACCAUUUGUAGGCUUGGAAAUCGGUCGAGUUUGAAACUCGGAUUUGAGGAUUGUCAUUAGUUUGACUUUCCUUUCAUCUUCCAGUCUAUGUCUUUACAUACACUUUGUUAUAAAGACAAAAGAAAAUGAAAUUAAAAUAAAAACAACUUUCAACAACGGAUCUCUUGGCUCUC
rnacentral:misc_RNA from 1 species